rnacentral:lncRNA from 1 species
GGGCGCCCGGGACGGGCCCGGCAGAGCGGGAGCGGCGCCGCCAUUUUGGUGCUGAGGAGCGGCGGCGGCGGCGGCGCCCGGGAAGGUGCUGGCACCAUGGAGUACGAGCGCAGGGGUGGCCGUGGGGACCGCACGGGGCGUUAUGGGGGUGCCCCACCCCCCUCCGAGGACAGCUCCCGUGCCCAGCGCGACCACGACUAUCGCGACAUGGACUAUCGUGGCUACGGGGGACCCCCCGAGGGGCCCCCUGCUGCCGGGACCCCUCCUCAGGCGUCCUACGAGAACACGGAGCCCCCGCGGAAGCGGGAGCCGCCCCGGGAGCCUCCCCGGGAGCCGCCGGCGCUGCCGUUCGGCGCUGACGGCGAUUACCGGGACCAGGAUUACCGGGAGGGCGCCGAGGAGGAGCCGCGGGCCAGCACCAUCGUCAUGCUGCGCAUGCUGCCCCAGGCGGCCACCGAGAACGACGUGAGCCCCGGCCCCGCCCCUGCCGGGUGGCCACGCCCCUCAUCAACAGGCCACGCCCUCUGCCGGGGUGGCCGCGCCCCUCAUCACCAGGCCCUGCCCUCUGCUGGGGUGACCACACCCCUCCUCACCAGGCCCUGCCCUCUGCCGGGAUGGCCACGCCCCUCCUCACCAGGCCCCGCCCUCUGCCGGGAUGGCCCCGCCCCUCCUCACCAGGCCCCGCCCCUUCUGGGAUGACCACGCCCCUCCUCACCAGGCCCCGCCUCCUGCCGGGAUGGCCACGCCCCUCCUCACCAGGCCCCGCCCUCUGCCGGGGUGGCCACGCCCCUCAUCACCAGGCCCCGCUCUCUGCCGGGAUGGCCACGCCCCUCCUCACCAGGCCCCGCCUCCUCCCGGGAUGGUCACGCCCCUCCUCACCAGGCUCCA